rnacentral:rRNA from 1 species
UACGUAGGCAGCAAGCGUUGUUCGGAAUUACUGGGCGUAAAGAGUGUGUAGGCGGUGCUCUAAGUUCGGUGUGAAAUCUCCCGGCUCAACUGGGAGGGUGCGCCGAAAACUGGAGUGCUGGAGCGCGGGAGAGGAAAGCGGAAGUUCCUGGUGUAGCGGUGAAAUGCGUAGAUAUCAGGAGGAACACCGGUGGCGAAGGCGGAUCUCUGGGCCGAUACUGACGCUGAGGAGCGAAAGCGUGGGGAGCGAACAGG